UGGAGAUUUCAGUCAGUUCUGUUGUCUCUGC
rnacentral:piRNA from 1 species